UUCCUUUAUGUUUUUCUCUCUCCUUUCAUUCUUUUCCUUCUCUUCUUUUUUCUCCUUCACAGAUCCAAGAUCCCCUUUUCUUAACAAUUACCGAUCGAAAAGCUAACCUCGUUUUUUAUCAUCACAAUCAGAUUGCUAAAUCAUAAACUCUAAUGUUAAUGAAGUUUAUUACUGUUUAGUUUUUCUACACAGAAUCAAUAAAACCCCCAAACCCUAGAAUCAAAAUCCAUUUUAUUUUAUCAAUAGUUAAGAUCUGAGAAACUAGAGUCAAACGGAAGGAGAAAAGAGAAUCCUUCUUCGGCUUCUGUUCAGUUCCGAUUCAUUCUCCGAGUUUUAGCUAAGGUGCUACUGUUGCUGAAAGAAAAACCGAGAGGAAAAUAAAUCCGAAGAAUAUUGGGAGGCAUUUGUGGCUAGUGACGAUAAAGACAAGGCAGUAAGGAUGAGAGGGAAGGAAGCAAGGCAGGGAGUUGAACUGGAAGAGAUGGUAUUGUGCGGCCUCGGCAUGUAAUGGAACAACAAAGUCCAACUGGGAAUGGUAAGAGAGUUGCACGAAACUGAGCAGUAUAAAGAAGACACCCAUUCAGACAGGGCUGCAGUUGCGGCGGCGGUAAUAGACAAGCUCCAGGAGAAGAGAAUGAAGUCAUCCCAUAGUUAUCUGUGAUGCUGCUUACACUUUACUGCAAAGAUCUUCGGUAAUCCUAUUGGUUAGAACUAAGUUCCAUAGUAUGAAAUUCAGCAAACAAUGCGUGCCUGCACAUUACAUUAUAAUAUGGGUUUCCCUUUUUACUGUAGUCAAUGAUAUAUGAGAAAAAGGGAACAAGCAGUCACAUGAAGUGAAAGGUUCUUGUUGUGUGCCUAUCCUUCGUUUUUCAUGGAGGGGUAAGUCAUGGAUGAUGCAGUUGUUAGAUGGGAGUUUCAACUUUCAACGCUUAAUGGAAUUUAAUCUUGCUUAAAUUGAAGAAGAAUAAUUUAUAGAGACAGGAUAACAAGUGCCCCCCUUGUCAGUACUAGUUGGAAGAUUGUCUCUUCCUGGUUUUCUACCAAUUAAGCAAUAUAGAUCACACCAGAGUCGAGACCCUGUUUAGUAUCUAUGUACUACCUGUACUAACAUCCAUGGUAAGUUCAAAAGAAACUUAAGCAUAGAGCAUUCCGUUAUUAAGGUUUUGCUUACUCAUACGUGUUAUUUUAUUUGGUGGUGAUGGUGUUAAUGGGAAAUCAUUCCCACCAGUAGUUGGUGAACAAUCAUUAGUGAUGGUGUAAAUGGGAAACCAUUCGCACCAGUAGUGAUGGUGUUGUGCAUGUUAAAUCAUGUGUAUAUCUAGUAAUUGGUGUUCCAUUCUUGCAACCUCGGCGUCGUGCUGCAACUAGGUUCUUCUUGGGGUUUCCGCUAGUUGAUGUAAAUGAUCUUGUGAUCCCAAGGGUUAUCUAUGAGUAUUGCAGCUUGAUGAUGUAACUAGUCAUGUGAUCUCAAGGGUUAGCUAUGAUUCCAUAUCUUGUCCAUGCUGGAAACAAGAAUGGUCUUCUAGUGCCACACACUACUACUGACCAAGGUCCUCGCAAGUUCUGAAUUGGGCAGGUCAUUCCAUUUUUUAGCUGGUUUUUGCUGCAGUUUGUAUUUAUUAGGUUGCUCUGCAGUCUGCACUGAUUGUAAGAAAGAAUUAUCCUUUUAGAACUUAUGGUGCGAAUUCUGUAUUUGCGUAGAUUUUUUUUGGUGCUUUUGAGCAUCUGUUUAAACUGAAUUCAAUUGUGUUUUGAACUUGUAGAUUGAUUUUGUACUUUGAAUUUGAAAGUUUGGUUGAAUGGUGAAAUAUGUCGUCCAAGCAUAUGAAAUUGUAAAUUGAUUCCAGCAGAAUUUCAGU